CCUACGGGAGGCAGCAGUGGGGAAUUUUGGACAAUGGGCGAAAGCCUGAUCCAGCAAUGCCGCGUGCAGGAAGAAGGCCUUCGGGUUGUAAACUGCUUUUGUACGGAACGAAACGGUCUGCUUUAAUACAGUGGGCUAAUGACGGUACCGUAAGAAUAAGCACCGGCUAACUACGUGCCAGCAGCCGCGGUAAUACGUAGGGUGCGAGCGUUAAUCGGAAUUACUGGGCGUAAAGCGUGCGCAGGCGGUUAUAUAAGACAGUUGUGAAAUCCCCGGGCUCAACCUGGGAAUUGCAUCUGUGACUGUAUGGCUAGAGUACGGUAGAGGGGGAUGGAAUUCCGCGUGUAGCAGUGAAAUGCGUAGAUAUGCGGAGGAACACCGAUGGCGAAGGCAAUCCCCUGGACCUGUACUGACGCUCAUGCACGAAAGCGUGGGGAGCAAACAGGAUUAGAUACCCUGGUAGUCCACGCCCUAAACGAUGUCAACUGGUUGUUGGGUGCAUUAGUACUCAGUAACGAAGCUAACGCGUGAAGUUGACCGCCUGGGGAGUACGGCCGCAAGGUUGAAACUUAAAGGAAUUGACGG
rnacentral:rRNA from 1 species